UUCCAAAGUUUCCCACUCCCAUUAGCAAAGAAAGAGACCACACACGUUUGGUAAGUUAAAAACGGUUUACUUACAAAGUCUUCAAAUUCAUGAGUUUUUCCACACAGCAGUAAGAAAACACAGGCAGUAAAACUGAAGUUCCAAAGUGGUACAUGUUUCUAAAUUAUUUGUAAAGAAACGCAAAGAUGGCUUGCUUAAGCCAUGCGGUCUAAGCUUGGAGCAUCCCUUCCCUCUCUGCCAUCUCCAAGCUCGUUACAGGUCUGAGACCACAGAGGCUGGAUGUUAGUUCACCCUGAAUGCUUUUCUGCAAAGCGGAAAGGCAGAGAAGAAACAUUUUAAAAUAAAACAAAUGGAACUAAGUUGUUGUUGCCCCACUGCCUUAAUCAAGCUGAUCUCAUGUGCAGUUAGAGGGUUCUGAGUGCCUCCUUUUUGAUCAAAGCUAGGGAUGGGGAAAGGAAUUUAAUUUAGCUUACUAUUAUAUAUAUAUAUAUAUAUAUAUAUAUAUAUAUAUAUAUAUAUAUUCGUUUUCAACAUAUCCUUUUCAACUAUAAUUAAACAUAUUUUCAUAUCUUAUACCAUUUUUUUGACUUCCAUCAAUCACUUCUGAAAGUUUUCCAAUCUAUUCACAUAAUAUACAUUUCUUACUUUCACUAUUACAUAUAAAUCUCAUAACUAAUAUCCUGUUCUUUCUUUACUAUGCAAUAUUUCAUAUAUUUCUCUUUACAAAACUUCUUGUAGUCCUACUAGCGUAAUUUGUUGAUUACAAUUGCUCUUCAAAUAGUUUGUAUAUUUCUCCCAAUCUUCUGUGAAGAAUAUUAAUAGUCAAGAUGUUAAAUUGUUUUUAUACGCAACAACAGCAGCAAGAGUAUUGUUAGCCCAGAAAAGGAAGCAAGAAGAAAUCCCGACGAAAGAAGAAUGCCAGACAAAAUUAAUGGACUAUGCAGAAUUAGAUAAAAUGACAGGAAGGAUUCAAAACCGGCAGGACCAGAGAUUCUCAGAAAAUUUAGCUUAUUAUUAAAGGUUUAAACCUGAAGGAGCAUCUCCACCCCAACCCAGGCACUGAAGUCCUUCUCUGAGGGUCUUCUGGCCGUUCCCUCACUGUGAGAAGUGAAGUUACUGGGCACAGGGCCUUCUCGGUAGUGGUGCCCUUCCUGCAGAACGCCCUCUCAUCAGAUGUCAAGGAGAUAAGUACAGUGGUGCCUCGCAAGACGAAAUUAAUUCGUUCCGCGAGUCUUUUCGUCUUGCGGUUUUUUUCGUCUUGCGAAGCACGGUGUCGGAAAAGUUUUGGAAAAGCUUCAAAAAUCACCAAAGUCUUCAAAAACCUCAAAAAAGGCUACCACACCGUGUGCUAUGAGUUGCUCCUCGAAGUCAAGUCGCAACUGUAUUAACGGUUUUAAGAAAAAGGAAACAAACUUGCAAGACGUUUCCGUCUUGCGAAGCAAGCCCAUAGGGAAAAUCGUCUUGUGAAGCAACUCAAAAAACCAUAAAUCCUUUCGUUUUGCGAGUUUUCCGUCUUGCGAGGCAUUCGUCUUGUGAGGUACCACUGUAACUAUAUAAGCUUUAGAAGACAUCUGAAGGCAGCCCUGUAUUGGAAAGUUUUCCAUUUUUGAUGUUUUGCUGUGCUUUUAUUAUUCUAGAAGCUGCCCAGAGUGGCUGGAGCAACUCAGUCAGAUGAGCGGGGUAUAAGUAAUAAAUCAUCAUCAUCUUCAUUAAAUAUGCACUUGCCAAAGCAAUAUGAGUAUCGAAACACAGCCAUCCUUCAAAAUUGGGACAUACCUGAAUUUUGCAGUCAAGUUCUCCACUAAAACGAGGUUCGCAAAAGUGCACAUAUUACGACAAAAGUGUACAUAUAAAUCUGUGAAAAGAACAUAAAAAUGCAUUAUAUUAAGAGAAAGCAGGUGCAGAGGUAGUGUGAAACAGUCAAUGCUGGCUGCAAAAUGUUCCUAACCGGAGAAACUCAUACUAAAUGCUCACGUAUUUUUACAAGGACCUUAAAAGAAUAACAAUCACAAAUUGCUGCAGAAAUGUGGCAAACUGGGUUUGCGGUUGGGGGGGGGGGAUGAGAAGUUGAGGGAACCAAAAUGGAUAGAUCCUUUUGUCCCUACCCAAAGCCUAAUUGGGGAUUCUCACCUUCAUUUUCGUACUGUAUCCCCCUCCCAAAUAAACCCCUCAUCUCUGUGAAAAGAGCUGAAUUACCACCUCAGCUGGGUCCCCUUAAGUUAAGCCACAAAAAUAACAUUACAGUCAUACCUCAUGUUACGUCCGCUUCAUGUUACAUUCUUUCAGCUUACAUCCCGCAGCGACCCGGAAGUACCGCAAAAGGUUACUUCUGGGUUUCGCCGCUCGCGCAUGCGCAGAAGCGCAAAAUGACAUUAUGCACAUGCGCAGAAGUGGCGAAUCGCAACCCGCGCAUGCACAGAUGUGCCACUGUGGGUUGCGUUUUUUCAUGUUGCAAACGGGCCUCCAGAAUGGAUCCCGUUCACAACCAGAGGUACCACUGUAAUACGAUGGUGUAUCUUUAAAUAUGAUUUCACUGCUGAGCCCAGAUUAUGACGAUGUUACAUAACUAUCUUGGAGACAUUCCAUGCAGACUUCCAAAACGCUGUCCUUCCAGUAUCGAAGCACAAGAGGGCGCUGCGCCUGAGCCUUUUCCCUCCCCAGCCUCCGCCAACAGCUUGACGUUCAACAUUUCAGCAAAACCCUGCAACAACCAACUUAGCAAAGGAUUUAUUCAAAUGUAGACAGCUACUUUCCUGUAAACC